GACGAACGCUGGCGGCGUGCCUAAUACAUGCAAGUCGAACGCAGUGGGGACGGGUGAGUAACACGUGGGUAACCUCCCAUCAGAGGGGAUAACACUUGGAAACAGGUGCUAAACCGAUACUGAUGGAUGGACCCGCGGUGCAUUAGCUAGUUGGUGAGGUAACGGCUCACCAAGGCCACGAUGCAUAGCGGACCUGGGAGGGGGAUUGGCCAAAACGGGACGGAGAAACGGCCCAGACUCCUACGGGAGGGAGCAGUAGGGAAUUCUCGGACAUUGAAGAAAGGCGUAACGGGCCACGGCGGGUGAGGGAAGAAGGUUUUCGGGUUGUAAAAACCUGGUUGUAGGGAAGCGGGAAUCUAACAAGAAGCCCAGGCUAACUACGUGCCAGCAGCCGCGGUAAUUC
rnacentral:rRNA from 1 species